UCAGCAGCCGCGGUAAUACGGAGGGUGCGAGCGUUAAUCGGAAUUACUGGGCGUAAAGGGUGCGUAGGCGGAAGCUUAAGUCUGAUGUGAAAGCCCCGGGCUUAACCUGGGAAUGGCAUUGGAAACUGGGUUUCUAGAGUGUGGUAGAGGAUAGUGGAAUUUCCAGUGUAGCGGUGAAAUGCGUAGAUAUUGGAAAGAACACCGAUGGCGAAGGCAGCUGUCUGGGCCAACACUGACGCUGAGGUAACGAAAGCGUGGGGAGCAAACAGGAUUAGAUACCCUGGUAGUCCACGCCCUAAACGAUGUCGACUUGUCGUUGGGGGAAUUUAUUCCCUCAGUGACGGCUGNMGCGUUAAGUCGACCGCCUGGGGAGUACGCCG
rnacentral:rRNA from 1 species